AUGGUUCAGUGAGGCUUCCGGACUGGCCCAGGGAGGUCGGCAACGACCACCCAGGGCCGGAAAGUUAUCCAAACUCGAUCAUUUAGAGGAAGUAAAAGUCGUAACAAGGUCUCCGUUGGUGAACCAGCGGAGGGAUCAUU
rnacentral:rRNA from 1 species